rnacentral:rRNA from 1 species
GAUUAAGUUAUUAAGGGCGCACGGUGGAUGCCUUGGCACUAGAAGCCAAUGAAGGACGUUACUAACGACGAUAUGCUUUGGGGAGCUGUAAGUAAGCUUUGAUCCAGAGAUUUCCGAAUGGGGAAACCCAGCAUGAGUUAUGUCAUGUUAUCGAUAUGUGAAUACAUAGCAUAUCAGAAGGCACACCCGGAGAA